UCCACGCCGUAAACGGUGUCAACUUGAUGUGGGAGGAUUUAACCCCUUCCGUAUCGUAGCUAACGCGAUAAGUUGACCGCCUGGGGACUACGGCCGCAAGGCUAAAACUCAAAGGAAUUGACGGGGGCCCGCACAAGCGGUGGAGCAUGUGGCUUAAUUCGAGGCAACGCGAAGAACCUUACCUGGUCUUGAAAUAUAUUGGACAGUCUGUGAAAGCAGAUCUCCCUUCGGGGCUGAUAUACAGGUGCUGCAUGGCUGUCGUCAGCUCGUGCUGUGAAGUGUUCGGUUAAGUCCGGCAACGAGCGCAACCCGUAUCUUUAGU
rnacentral:rRNA from 1 species